UACGUAGGCAGCAAGCGUUGUUCGGAGUUACUGGGCGUAAAGAGUGCGUAGGUGGUGCCCUAAGUCUGUUGUGAAAUCUCCCGGCUUAACUGGGAGGGUGCGGUGGAAACUGGGGUGCUUGAGUGUGGGAGAGGUAAGCGGAAUUCCUGGUGUAGCGGUGAAAUGCGUAGAUAUCAGGAGGAACACCGAUGGCGAAGGCAGCUCGCUGGGACGGUACUGACGCUGAGACGCGAAAGCGUGGGGAGCGAACAGG
rnacentral:rRNA from 1 species